rnacentral:lncRNA from 1 species
UUUUAUAAUCUAACAGUUUAAAGAUUUUUUUGAAAUUUGCGAAUUAAAUUACUUUUACUUUUUUUUACACAUCUGUUAACUUCAAAAUAUAAUUCAAAUUCUUUUUUAAAGAUAUUGUAUAUGUCGGCGGAUUUUGUUCUUUGCUCCGACGUGUAAAAUGAUUUGUAAAUUGAGAAACCUAUCAACGUUAUAAUAAGAUUUAUGUCAUUAUAAUGUCGGUCUCCUAUUUUAUAUCCAAAGACUAUAUCUAUUAAGUUUAUUUUCUUACAGAAGUUUAUGAUAUUCAUUUUUUCUGUUAUUUUAUUCCACAAAUCUUUUAAAAAUUUACAGUCGAUAAAAAAAUG